rnacentral:rRNA from 1 species
AAUGAACGUUGGCGGCGUGGAUUAGGCAUGCAAGUCGUACGCUUUAUGUAGCAAUACAUGAAGAGUGGCGUAAGGGAGAGUAAUGCAUGGUUAGCCACCCUGGGGACUGGGAUAGCGGCGGGAAACUGCCGGUAAUACCAGAUGAUAUCUUCGGAUCAAACGUGUGAAUCGGCCCUAGGAGGUGACCAUGUCCUAUCAGCUAGUUGGCGGUGUAACGGACCACCAAGGCUAAGACGGGUAUGGGGCGUGAGAGCGUGCCCCCACUCACUGGGACUGAGACACGGCCCAGACACCUACGGGUGGCUGCAGUCGAGAAUCUUCGGCAAUGGGCGCAAGCCUGACCGAGCGACGCCGCGUGCGGGAUGAAGGCCUUCGGGUUGUAAACCGCUGUCGUAGGGGAGGAAGGUCUGGUGUAUAGCCAGGCUUGACCGAUCCUAGGAGGAAGGGCCGGCUAAUCUCGUGCCAGCAGCCGCAGUAACAC